AACGAACGCUGGCGGCAGGCUUAAGACAUGCAAGUCGAACGGUAGUCUUCGGACUGUAGUGGCGCACGGGUGAGUAACGCGUAACUGACCUACCCCAAAGUCGCGGAUAACGAUUCGAAAGAAUCGCUAAUACGUGAUGUGCUGUCAGAUUGUGUUCUGCCAGUAAAGAUUGAUUGCUUUGGGAUGGGGUUGCGUUCCAUCAGCUAGUUGGUGGGGUAAAGGCCCACCAAGGCGACGACGGAUAGCCGGCCUGAGAGGGUGGCCGGCCACAGGGGCACUGAGACACGGGUCCCACUCCUACGGGAGGCAGCAGUUAGGAAUCUUCCACAAUGGGCGAAAGCCUGAUGGAGCGACGCCGCGUGAGGGAUGAAGGUCUUCGGAUCGUAAACCUCUGAAUCAGGGACGAAAGACACUUCGGUGGGAUGACGGUACCUGAGUAAUAGCACCGGCUAACUCCGUGCCAGCCGCCGCCGUAAAAC
rnacentral:rRNA from 1 species